rfam:Oribacterium sp. ACB1 genomic scaffold acqcx-supercont2.1, whole genome shotgun sequence.
GCGCGAGUGGUAGAGUGGUACUAUGUCUCCUUGCCAAGGAGAAGGUCGCGGGUUCGAUUCCCGUCUCGCGCU